UACGUAGGUGGCAAGCGUUUGUUCGGAAUUACUGGGCGUAAAGAGUGUGUAGGCGGUGCUCUAAGUCUGUUGUGAAAUCUCCCGGCUUAACCGGGAGGGUGCGGCGGAAACUGGAGUGCUUGAGGGUGGGAGAGGUAAGCGGAAUUCCUGGUGUAGCGGUGAAAUGCGUAGAUAUCAGGAGGAACACCUGUGGUGUAGACAGCUUACUGGACCAUUUCUGACGCUGAGACACGAAAGCGUGGGUAGCAAACAGG
rnacentral:rRNA from 1 species